GAUGAACGCUGGCGGCGUGCCUAAUACAUGCAAGUCGAGCGAACAGAUGAGGAGCUUGCUCCUCUGACGUUAGCGGCGGACGGGGGAGUAACACGUGGAUAACCUACCUAUAAGACUGGGAUAACUUCGGGAAACCGGAGCUAAUACCGGAUAAUAUAUUGAACCGCAUGGUUCAAUAGUGAAAGACGGUUUUGCUGUCACUUAUAGAUGGAUCCGCGCCGCAUUAGCUAGUUGGUAAGGUAACGGCUUACCAAGGCAACGAUGCGUAGCCGACCUGAGAGGGUGAUCGGCCACACUGGAACUGAGACACGGUCCAGACUCCUACGGGAGGCAGCAGUAGGGAAUCUUCCGCAAUGGGCGAAAGCUUGACGGAGCAACGCCGCGUGAGUGAUGAAGGUCUUCGGAUCGUAAAACUCUGUUAUUAGGGAAGAACAAAUGUGUAAGUAACUAUGCACGUCUUGACGGUACCUAAUCAGAAAGCCACGGCUAACUACGUG
rnacentral:rRNA from 1 species